GAUGAACGCUGGCGGCGUGCCUAAUACAUGCAAGUCGAGCGAACGGACGAGAAGCUUGCUUCUCUGAUGUUAGCGGCGGACGGGUGAGUAACACGUGGAUAACCUACCUAUAAGACUGGGAUAACUUCGGGAAACCGGAGCUAAUACCGGAUAAUAUUUUGAACCGCAUGGUUCAAAAGUGAAAGACGGUCUUGCUGUCACUUAUAGAUGGAUCCGCGCUGCAUUAGCUAGUUGGUAAGGUAACGGCUUACCAAGGCAACGAUGCAUAGCCGACCUGAGAGGGGGGCGGGCACCCUAGGACAGAAAAACGGGGCCAACCCCCAAGGGGGGGCAGCGGGGGGGAAUCUUCCGAAAUGGGGGAAAGCCGACCGGAGGAACGCCGGGGGGGGGAGGAAGGUUUUGGGAUGGUAAAACUUUUUUUUUAGGGAAAAAAAUAUUGGUAAGUAACGGGGCACAUCUGGACGGUACCAAUGAAAAAAGCCAGGGCAAACUAGGG
rnacentral:rRNA from 1 species